rnacentral:rRNA from 1 species
GGCGCCUAAGAGUCACUGGUUGUUGGGAUUUAUUUUCGCAUAACGAAGCUAACGCGUGAAGUUGACCGCCUGGGGAGUACGGCCGCAAGGUUAAAACUCAAAGGAAUUGACGGGGACCCGCACAAGCGGUGGAUGAUGUUCUUUAAUUCGAUGCAACGCGAAAAACCUUACCCACCUUUGACAUGUACGGAAUCCUUUAGAGAUAGAGGAGUGCUCGAAAGAGAGCCGUAACACAGGUGCUGCAUGGCUGUCGUCAGCUCGUGUCGUGAGAUGUUGGGUUAAGUCCCGCAACGAGCGCAACCCUUGCCAUUAGUUGCUACGAAAGGGCACUCUAAUGGGACUGCCGGUGACAAACCGGAGGAAGGUGGGGAUGACGUCAAGUCCUCAUGGCCCUUAUAGGUGGGGCUAGAAACGUCAUACAAUGGCCGGUACAAAGGGUCGCUAAGCCGCGAGGUGGAGCCAAUCCCAUAAAGCCGGUCGUAGUCCGGAUCGCAGUCUGCAACUCGACUGCGUGAAGUCGGAAUCGCUAGUAAUCGUGGAUCAGCAUGUCACGGUGAAUACGUUCCCGGGUCUUGUACACACCGCCCGUCACACCAUGGGAGCGGGUCUCGCCAGAAGUAGGUAGCCUAACCGUAAGGAGGGCGCUUACCACGGCGGGGUUCGUGACUGGGGUGAAGUCGUAACAAG